CAGGCAGCUUGGAAGCAGAUACAAAUAAGGCACGUACUCAUGUUUUCCUUGACACAUUGUCAAAUGGACAUGAUCUGUCAAGAGCUGGGAGGGUGGUUUUAGACUCGCCCUAAGAUUCUGAAAUUUUAGACUUUAAUCUGGAAGGCAAGUGUUCCAGAAAAUAAAUCUGUUGGUUUAAUUCGUUUCGUCAAGUGAUUAUUUGCAUCUUCCUUUCUUUGCUUCACAGGACAAAGAUUUCCUCGGUAAGAAAACAAAUGGGUGAGACCAGUGCCAUCCUCUCUGCCCGACUUGCUGCCAUUCGUUGGAUGAUUUUGGCAACAUGUUCAGGGUUAAUCGAUUGAAUCAGUAGGGUAAUGCCCAUGUUGUCAGAGAGAAGCAGAGCUUGAGAAAUCUGAAAGUGCUUGAUAAUUUAUAUGGACAGAAGAAGGCCAAGAGUGCAUAGGGAGUUAUUUGUACUACAGAAAAAGGAAUGUCCUGGUUCAGUUUACACAUUUCAACUCACACCUUUUAAAGAAUAUAACAUGUGGUUGAAAAUUGAUUAAUUGAGAAGUUGAGAAUCUGAAAAUGUUUGUCUAUAAUGCAUCUAUUUGUGUGUCAGGCACUUCUCUUUUCUCACAGAACACAACCUUAUAGUAUGUUUUUGGGACAUAUUUUGAAUCCUCACACUAGAUCCGACAGUAUGUAUUCGGCACAGAUUCUGAAUCCUCACACUAGAGCAGAGGCAAAAAAAUAAUAGUUGCAUUAAUUAUAGGAAUUAUAGGGCCACAGUUCAGGUACAUAAACUCCUAAAGCCAAUAGAGAAAGGUAGAAACACAAAUGUGAAAUGUUAAUGUUUUGGUUCUGAGGUGUUGGCUCUUGUCCCCAUAUGGUGUAGUUUCAUCAGACAACAAUUCUUAUUAACUGACUUUGGUCUAGCAUUAGUUGGUACCACAAAAGUAAUUUAGCUAAGGCUUCAAAAUUGGAUGUUGUGUUUUCCUCUUCCAGUGCAGAGCCAAUAAGAUGAAAAGGUUGAUUUUAAUCUCAGUUAUGCAUCUCCCGUGUCUCUUUUAUGCUCAUUGUUGCUACAUGCUUGCUUCAGAGAGGACUAUGUUAGUUUACUUCCCACUGAUGUUGUAUAUAGUUGCAUGUUUUCUUAGACUAUUUUAUUUGACCUACAGAAAUGUUCCCUUGCUUUGGUUGGAUGGGUGUAGGAGCAGCAAGCAUCGCCGCCACCCGGAAAACUCCAGUAACUUCUUGCCCCUUCCAGCCUCGGUGAGAUGGCAUCGUAUUUUUUGUAUGUGUACAUUUCUGCUUGUGGUGGCAUUUUUGCAAUCCUUUACUUUGGGUUUUGAUUUUUUUUCAUUUCAUGGUUGUUGUCGCAGGAUCAUGAACGACUUCAAGCUGAAGAUGUUGAACCAUGCGAUGCAAGAAUUAUUAUUUUGGGCUCCUAUGGAAGACUCAUGUAAUUGCUGUCAAGAACACUGUCAGUUCAGCGGUUGUCAUCAUGCAAGCAAUUGGCCGCUGAUCUGCUUGCUCUUUGUACUACUAAAGGCAGUGUUUUUUCCCUCCCAGUAAAUUACACUAUUUUCAGGUGGCAUCAUACGGUGAAGCAGGGGAUAUGGAUCAGAAGCCGCAAUGGUGCGCGUGACGACAUGUCUAACACUUGCCUGACCCUGGACUCUGGCUUCUUCUUACAAGUUGACCAUACUAUUGUGAGAAUCUCGGCCAGGAUCAUUCUUUAUAUCAUGUUGGAUCAUCUUGGAAUUUGUAGAGUAAUUUAUCGUCUAAGGAUGUACUCACAGAACACAAUCAGUGUGGUUGUGCUUUUCUACACUUCUGUCCAGAGCAAUGGGAUAUGUAUUCUGUACUGUACGGCUACCCUCUAAUGCAUUUCUCAGACUUCAGUCU